ACUUUUCUACAGACAAACAAGUACUGAAACUGAAGUACUGGCGGUACUGAACUGACAACUCCUUUUUUAUUUCUUUUCAUCCUUGCAAUGGUUCUGUACUGACGUUACACGUGAACGCUUUUAUCGGAUACCCGGCAUUGAUUUUAGAAAAAAAUCCUAUUAUUUUUUCGCGAUUAUGGCUCAUCAGUAAAUCAAACUAUCUGUAUGUACUAUCAAUGUAUCUAUAUAAUUUAAGUACAUCAAAGAGCUAUAGAAAUAAUUACCCAUGCUAUUCAUAUUGCAACAUUUCUGGUACAAGAAUUUGGAAAAUUGCUAUAGCAAGAUGAAUGAGCCAGUCUCAAAAAUGGCAUCGAGAAAGUACACUAAGAGAAUUGGUAAAAAACAUAUUAAAUAAAAUCUAGUUCAAGAGAAACAAAACAUUGGAGAUAUAUUUAAAUUACAUUUACUGAAAUCAAAUGAAAACAUCUUGAUUCUUGAUAGAACGCCAGUAGGGACGAGAUAGCAAUAGCCAUGACUACUGGAGCCUGGAAUAUUAGCUUCAUCAUGUGUUAUCUUAAUCGGAUGGAACUAUUUGGGGAUGGUGACAAACAAAGUUUAACUUUAUACUGAAUGAGAUACAUUUUACAACCUCUUCAACUGAACAUGUUAUGUUCGAAAGACGAAAGUCUUUAUUAAGGAGUUGAGACAUGGCCUAGAGGUAUUUGGAAUGGCUGUUUCUGAGCUCUGGUAAUAUAAAUGCAGUAUGGAUUGUAAAAAAACAAAACUGAUGUUGAGUAUGGAUAGGUGUAAUUUAUCUGGAGAGUUAAAUCUAUCCAAUUGUAAAAUGUAACGUCAAUUUGACAGUUGUUAUCACUGACAGAUAGUGGAUUAGUUUGAAAUGGACUCUACUAAUAUCUCUAUAAUGAGAAUGAACGAACCACCUGAACAAAAUAAUGAGGUAGGUUUUAUUAUUUUGAAGAUAUCUUUCAAUAUGUCACAGUCCCAGCUCCACCAGAUGACUAGUAACUUAAUCUAGAGUGGCGUUUAGCACUGUGAAAAUUAAUAAUGGAUAUCUUCAUAAAUCUGAGGAAAAUGUAUAAAUUUGAUGCGCUGUAUAUAUGGCUAGCGCUCCUGGCAAUCGAAGCAUCUGAACAAUACUGAGAAAGAAAAGGAAAUGAAUGAAGCUGUUUUUUUUUUCUUUCCAACUCUAGGCUGCCAAGGUUAUCAGUUGCAGUACAUUCUAAAGGGUUCUUGGAUACUUAUAGGGUAGAUGUUAUAUGCAGAGAACAACUCCAGUUAAAAGGAUUUCAAUGUAUUGGAACAAUGUUAAGAUAUGAUAUCAAAGAGGAACUUUUAUGCCAAACACCAUGUAAACAUUCAAACAAUGGACAAAAGAGGAUCCUACUGUCUAGAAAGCUUUGUGGGGCAGAGGAUUAUUGAAAAGCAGCUGAAAUUACCGUAACUUUGCAUAUCGGAAAAACUGUAACCUGACCGCAGAAAGCAAUCCUUAUUCCAAAUGCUGAUUUAUGGAGCCAGACAAACAAAAGUAUUAUAAUGAUUUGGAGAGAAUACGUGCAGUUGUUUAUUGAAGAUAGAAGAUAUUUAUAAUUAUUAUAUUAUAUUGUGAAUUAAAUGGAAAGUAAAAUAAACGCGAGUUUUAGUUUAGUAAA